rnacentral:rRNA from 1 species
GGAAUAUUGGUCAAUGGGCGAGAGCCUGAACCAGCCAAGUAGCGUGCAGGAAGACUGCCCUAUGGGUUGUAAACUGCUUUUAUGCGGGGAUAAAGUGCGCCACGUGUGGCGUUUUGUAGGUACCGCAUGAAUAAGGACCGGCUAAUUCCGUGCCAGCAGCCGCGGUAAUACGUAGGUGGCAAGCGUUAUCCGGAUUUAUUGGGCGUAAAGCGAGCGCAGGCGGUUUUUUAAGUCUGAUGUGAAAGCCUUCGGCUUAACCGAAGAAGUGCAUCGGAAACUGGGAAACUUGAGUGCAGAAGAGGACAGUGGAACUCCAUGUGUAGCGGUGAAAUGCGGAGAUAUAUGGAAGAACACCAGUGGCGAAGGCGGCUGUCGGGUCUGUAACUGACGCUGAGGCUCGAAAGCAUGGGUAGCGAACA